rnacentral:rRNA from 1 species
UACGUAGGGGGCAAGCGUUGUCCGGAAUCAUUGGGCGUAAAGAGCGUGUAGGCGGUUCGGUAAGUCGGUUGUGAAAGUCCAGGGCUCAACCCUGGGAUGCCGAUCGAGACUGUCGGACUAGAGUUCGGAAGAGGCGAGUGGAAUUCCCGGUGUAGCGGUGAAAUGCGCAGAUAUCGGGAGGAACACCAAUGGCGAAGGCAGCUCGCUGGGACGUUACUGACGCUGAGACGCGAAAGCGUGGGGAACAAACAGG